UACAGCUGCAGGCAAAGGAAGAGAACGAUCGUCGAUACAAGGAGGUCCUAGCCCGCCUGGUCAGACGAUACCUCCUGCUCCAUGCGCGAGAGAAGAACAUUGAGCCGAUCUUUGCAGACAUCUCGUCUGAUGGCCCCGUCAAUCAAAGUGGAACGUCAAUCAAAGUGGAGCCUGACGGCGUCCCUGUUGGUGAAUCGGCUCCGUCAAACACGAAGCGCCAACAGUCGACUGAGGCUGGCAACUGGUCCAAGAUACAAGUUGGUUCUGAUGGGGAAGAAGGGACUGCAUCCGGAACAGGAGCUGCCUGUUAGAGAUUUCAUCUGUCUUUUGAUAAAAUCAGUCGUCAGUUCCGCCUUCAUUAUGUGUGUGGUUAUGCGUAAGUCACCACACAAAGUCGGAUACAUUGUGUUCACAAUGGCUAUGCCUGUAUGCUAGUGGCCUUCUUCUUUCAGUUGAGGCAACCACCUUCAGCUUAGUGAAGAUUAUGUUGGUCUUAACCUUUGACUAUUCAGUAGUGACACUGCUGUCUAGUCACUCAUCGGAAAAUAUGCAUCCAUAUCUACCAUUACGUGUUGUAUCAGAACGUCAGAAAAAUAACCGGAUCCUUGAAUCCUGUAAAUAAGAGCCGUAACAGUCUUGAAAUCUAUCGAAAGAUCUUCAACGAAUGACAAUUGGCCAGUUAUCACCUUCGCUAAGAAGGUUAUGUUUUGUGUAGUAUUUGUAUAUGUAUAUGUAUGGGUGUAGUUGAGUAGCAGACUAGAUAUCUCGAGAAUGCCUAGAUAGAUUGUAUUAAAAUUGAUUUUCGGUAUGAUUAGAUGUAGAUCCCUUAGCGGUUUGUAACGGUACUGCAGUGGUACUUCAGGUAUGUAUUCGAAUACUAACUUACCGAUCACUUGUACUAGCUCUUCAGUCGUUCAAUUUCUUCACAUUGUGUGUUGUUUAUAUAGGGCACUUCUCUUUUUUUUGUCAUUCCUGGGUGUGUUACUAUUAGCAUAUAUUUAUCUAUUAUGGUAUUUAUCAUUAUGUUUAUCUGUUACGGUAUUUAUCAUCAUGUUUAUCUAUUACAGUAUUUAUCAUUAUGUUUAUCUAUUACGGUAUUUAUCCGUUGAUUAGCUGCAUUUGAGCUGAAUAAAAUGUCUACCCAAAUCAUGA